rnacentral:lncRNA from 1 species
ACAAAACCUCUCAGCCUCAGUGCUCACUGAAAAUGUGUCAAGAAGAGCCCCUAACUGGGCCCUAUGACUGGAGCUGAAGGGGCAGACUUAAAGAACAGUCUCUUUGAGAUGCAGACACUUUUGGAUUCCAUCCUGUUAGACAAGCUGCACACAACAGAAUGACCAAGGGCGAGACCGAGAGACCAGGGAAACCGCUCAGGUAUGGUCUGAAUUGCAAGGACACACAUCAGUUGCACAGCUGGAGCAAACAGCUGGGAAGCCUGUCUGGGGAGACAUCUGCCUGAGGUGGCUGGUGAGCCAAGAAUGAGGAGUGGUCACACUUUGCAGCCCAGGCACCUCCUGAGAAUGACAGCCCUCCAGUCAGAUCUAUCCUGAGAGGAACCUAGUGCCUGCCACAGUCCCUUGCAAUGUUGCCUUUGCUGUAAAGAUGAAAAUGAUGGGAAAUAAAUUUUUCCAGAAGAUCUGGUCCAUAUGCUGCUGCCCGCCAUGGCUGGAGUCUCGGAUUCAACCAUUGUGUUGGCUGCCUGCUGCCCAGACUGAGUGGGGUGAACUCAGGACAGAGCCUUGCUUUGGCAUGAAUACCUCUGCCUUCUCUUGCUGACACAUUCCCUCCACCACUCAAGAAUGCACAGAGCCCUUGCCAGGUUGAGAAUGCCUGACUGUGACAGCAGCGUUUGCAAAGUAAAGAGCCUAUUUAUGAAGAUAAUGGCAGUGCCCAGACCAGGCCCACCGUGGGAGAAUCUUGGCUCGUAAUUAGCAAGAACAGUGCAUUUUAAUGAGGAUGCCUGGUAGGCAGUCGGCUCCUGCCUGGACUGCCAACAAAUCUGGGCCAGAGGGAGUGUUGGCAGUGAGGACAAGGAGCAGGUCCUACACCGUGGUCAAGGUGCUUCACAACUUUAGCAGUUCCUGUUGACAUGUAAAUCCAGCUAUCAUCUUAACAGAGAAGAAGGGAUGAUAUAUUCUGGAGCCAAAUAUGCGUGAGCACGUAUGAGGCCCAUGUUCCGGUGUCAGGAAACCAGGGUGCAGGAGGCCCGGAAGCUGAAGAGAUUUAGAAGACUCACGAAUUCACUCUUAGUAAAGGCACUAGGUUGACAGAUACCAACUGGUACCUGUGUUCCCAUGUUCUGCCUCUCUGUAGGAACUCUGCCCACUGGGGUGUGGGAAAGUCACUCGGGCAGGUGCAAUGGGAGACACUAGACUGCAUUUACCCUCUGCCUGCUAUCAGGUGAUAGGCUAGCCGGAAGCAUCAAUGCACAGCUCAGGUGGUGGGAGAAUGCAGAUGGCGCUGGGAACUCAACCUGA